rnacentral:tRNA from 1 species
GCCGAAAUAGCUCAGUUGGGGAGAGCGUUAGACUGAAGAUCUAAAGGUCCCUGGUUCGAUCCCCGGUUUCGCA